UUUGUACUCCCUCCGUCCCAAAAUUAUUGUCUUAAAUUUGUCUAAAUACGAAUGUAUCUAGUUACAUUUUAGUGUUAGAUACAUCCGUAUCUAAACAAAUGUAAGACAAGAAUUUUGGGACGAGGGAAUACUAC
rnacentral:pre_miRNA from 1 species